rnacentral:rRNA from 1 species
UACGUAGGGUGCGAGCGUUAAUCGGAAUUACUGGGCGUAAAGGGUGCGCAGGCGGCGUCGCAAGUCAGGCGUGAAAUCCCCGGGCUUAACCUGGGAACUGCACUUGAAACUACGAUGCUGGAGUAUGGCAGAGGGAGGUGGAAUUCCUGGUGUAGCAGUGAAAUGCGUAGAUAUCAGGAGGAACACCGAUGGCGAAGGCAGCCCUGGCACU